rnacentral:rRNA from 1 species
GACGAACGCUGGCGGCGUGCUUAACACAUGCAAGUCGAACGGAAAGGUCCUGCUUUUGUGGGGUGCUCGAGUGGCGAACGGGUGAGUAACACGUGAGUAACCUGCCCUUGACUUUGGGAUAACUUCAGGAAACUGGGGCUAAUACCGGAUAGGAGCUCCUGCUGCAUGGUGGGGGUUGGAAAGUUUCGGCGGUUGGGGAUGGACUCGCGGCUUAUCAGCUUGUUGGUGGGGUAGUGGCUUACCAAGGCUUUGACGGGUAGCCGGCCUGAGAGGGUGACCGGCGAGAGGGGGGGGGGGAUGCGCCGCGGGCGCGGAGGGCGGGCGGGAGUGGGAGUGAUGGCGGGGGGGGCGGGGGGAGGGUGGCGCAGGGCGGGGGGCGGGAUGAGGGGCUUGGCGGUGUAACCGGCGGUCGAGGGUGAGGGGGGGUGAGCGUGGGAAAGGGGGAAAGAAGCACCGGCUAACUACGGGAAAGCAGCCGCGGUAAUCAUCGGAAGAGCACCCGUCAGACU